rnacentral:lncRNA from 1 species
CUCUUAAACAUGACAAAGAAUCCAAGGACUUGUGCUGGGGCUGUCAGCUGCUAUUCUGGUGCCCUGGGGACGAAGAAGGGAUCUGGAGGGAAGACUGUCACCCUCUUGCGAAUGUUUCCAAGAAGCAGCUCAGCAUGGGAGAGAAAAGGGGAGAUCCCAGUUCCAGGAACACCUGGCCAGUGUUUCACCUGUUUAUCGGAGUUGACAGGACCAGCCAGCCCUUUCCCACCUCUCCCCAUCAUGAUGGAUGGGAGCCUGGCCUUUGAGGUUAUGAACCAAGGAGAUGAAAGAUGCUGAUCAGUCAAUGAAAAAAAUUUAAAAACCACAUUACUAGUGCCUCUAAAGCCCUGCCAGCAUCUAUGCCCUGUGAUUCAACAUCACAAAGAGGGCUAGGAGAAGAAGAAAGUUAUUAAUUGGCAUUACUAUAAAAGCAUUCCAUCCUGAGAAGAGGUUCAUCACUGAAUGUGAAUUUCAUAGUCAUUAGCAGAAAAAGCCAGAGGGUAUGAGUUCAACACUCUGAGGUGGCUUGUUGAUCUGAUCAAAAUCAACUUUUCUGGAGUCCACAGAAAAUUAGACUUUUUGACAUUCUGCUGAAAGAGUCAUAUCCCAAAAAGGCUGGAUGGAGACCUGGUCAAUAAAUCACUUCUUCUCCCGCCCCUGACCUUCACACUGUUUAUGUCCUUCAGCCACUAUGACAGGGGACAUCGACCUUGAACCUAGUUGGCAACUCUAGCCUGUUUCCUCAUCUAUCAAAUGGGGUACAUUUUCUCUGCCUCCCUAACUGGUGGGAGCAUGGGUAGAGUCAUCUGGUCAACAGGUGAGAAAGUGUUUUGUAAAGCAGAAGGUGCUGGAUGUGUUCACACUUCACCACACACUCCUAAAGGAUCAUUAUUGUCCAUUUAACUGGAACCCAAAUGAAUACAUUGGGGAAAUUUUGCAGCCUUGUGGACUUGGCAGUUUGGAUCCAAUGUCAUGGAUGAUGUGGCUCAAAAGAAGUUUCUUUAUGCUGAGUAAUCACCUGGCUGCUGGCUCUGAAUGAAUAGGUAUAGGGUACCCUGUUGCUCUCCUGAGAGACUGGCCCAGUGGGCAUAAGCAGGGCUUGGACGCUGAUGCCCAAACACAGAGAACAUCAGACAGCAAACAGCUAAACCAGGGACCAAAUGCUCUGCGUUGCUUCUUUUCCCAUUAGUUUGCUCCUAAGCACCUGCCCCAUCAAAAUACCCAUGACUCCCCCAAAUGUCACAGGGGGCACUGCUGGGAUGUUCCCUCUGCCGUUUCCUCUGCCACAUCUCUCCACCUUCUCUGCUUAUUUAAUUUAUCUUAUCCUGGCUGGGCACAGUGACUCAUUCCUGCAAUCCCAGCACUUUGAGAGGCCAAGGUGGAAGGAUUGCUUGAGCCCAGGAGUUUGAGACCAGCCCGAGCAACACAGCAAGAUCCCAUCUCUACAAAAAUUAAAAAACUUAGCCAGGUGUGGCAGUGCACCUGUAGUCCUAGCUACUAGGGAGGCUAAGGUGGGAGGAUCACUUAAGCCAGGAGUUUGAGGCUGCAGUGAGCUAUGAUUGUGCCACUGCACUCCUGCCACAGCCUGGGUGACAGAGCGAAACCCUGUCUCUCAAAAGAAAAAAAAAGUCUCAUCAAGGUUCUACUCAUUGUCACCUCCUCUGUGAGGCCACAGUCUUCAAACUCCUAACACAGUCAGUACUGACUAUCCCCCCAGCCGAGUGAAGCACUGUCUUGUGCUUUGCCGCGCUGCAGUCUGAUUUGUAUGAGCAUUCACUGUGCACCCACCUCUAUCCCUGUUUACGUUGUGAGCUUCUCAAGGGCAGAAACCAGGUAUGAUCCCUCUUGGUGUCCCAGCACCUAGCACAGCUGCUGGUGUCUAGUAAUUUAUGAUUCAAUGUUGGAUUGCAUUUUUGCCAUUCCUUUGUGUGUCAGAGAGUGACCUGAGGGGAUUGUGAGAGGGGAAGAAAAGAUGAAAUCUUUUAUUUUUAUUUAUUUAAAUCAAUUCCAUUUUUGCUUUUGCCUUGAGUCCCAGCCCAUUAAAAAAUCUGAAAAACUGCUCUGAUGUAAUUCAUAGGAUAACCACAGUUUGUCUACUCACCAAUUGAGGGACAUUUGGGUUGCUUCCAGAUUUAUUUAUUUUUUGAGACAGAGUUUUGCUCUUGUUGCCCAGGUUGAAGUGCAAUGGCAUGAUCUUGGCUCACUGCAACCUCCACCUCCAGGGUUCAAGCGAUUCUCCUGCCUCAGCCUCCACAGUAGCUGGGAUCACAGGUGCCCGCCACCAUGCCCAGCUAAUUUUUGUAUUUUUAGUAGAGAUGGGGUUUCACCAUGUUGGCCAGGCUGGUCUCAAUCUCCUGAGCUCAAGUGACCCACCCACCUCAGCCUCCCAAAGUGCUGGGAUUACAGGUGUGAGCCACCAUACCCGGCCUCCAGAGUUUGGCUAUUAUGAAUAUGUGGUUAUGAAUAAUGUUGCUGUGAACAUUCACAUACAAGUCUAUGUUUUCAUUCUCUUGGGUAAGUACCUAGGAGUGGAAUUUCUGGGCUAUGUAAUGGGUGUAUGUUUAACUUUAAGAACACUGCCAAACACUUUUCCAAAGGGGCCAUACCGUUUCACAUUUCUACUGGCAGUGUUUGAGAGUGUAGUUUUUCUACAUCUUCACUAACUCCUUGCGAUGACAGUUUAAAAAAAAACCCAUUCUAAUGGGUAUAUUGGGUAUUUCAUUGUAGUUUUGAUUUGUAUUUCCUUGUUGCCUAGUCGUGUUCAUAUUGGCUGCCCAUAUAUUUUCUGUGGGAAGUGUCUGUUCAAAUAUUCUGUCCAUUUUUAAAAUCUGUAUUGUUUGCUUUCUUAUUAUUCUGCAUACAAGCCUUUCACUAUAUAUAUAUUUUACAGAUAUUUUCUCCUAGUCUCUGGCUUGUCUUUUCAUUUUCUUAAAUGUGUCCUUAAGUGAAUAGAAGUUUUUAAUUUUUAUGAAAUCUAUUUUAUUAUAUUUUUCUUUUAUGAUUACUGCUGUUUGUGUUAAGUUUAGAUAAUCUUUGUGUGUCAUGUUUAGGUAAUCUUUACCAACACAAUAUCACAAAGAUUUUCUGCUGUUUUCUUCCAGAAAUUCUUAUUGUUUUAGCUCUUAUGUUUAGGUCUAUUAUCUAUUUUGAUCAUUUUGCAUAUGAUGUGAAAUAAGGUUUAAAACUUAAUUCGUCCCCAUAAAGAUAUCCAGUACCACUUUGUAAAAAGACUAUACAUUCCUCAUUCAAUUGUCUUGGCACUUUUGUAAAAAAAAUUAAUUGAGCAUAUAAAUGCAAGUCUAUUCCUGCACUCUCUACUCUGUUCUACUGAUCUAUAACCAUGCCAAUGCCAUACAAUUUUGAUUAUUGUGGUUUUAUAGUAAUCCUGAAAUCAGGUAAUGCAAGCACUUCAAACUUGCUUUUAUUUUUUAAGUUAUUUUGGCAAUUUUUAACUCUUUGCUUUUUCAUAUUAUUUUAGAAUCAAUUUAUCAGUUUCUCCAAAAUAGUCUGUUAUGAUUUUGAUGAGGAUUGUAUUGAGUCUAUAGGUCAGUUUUUAGAAAAAACUUUUAACAAUAUUGCAUCUUCAAAUCCAUGAACAUGGUAUGCCUCUCCAUUUAUUUAGGUUUUCUUUAAUUUCCCUUAAUAAUAUUUUGUAGUUUUAAGGUUAUAGGUCUGGAACAUCUUUCUUUAAAUUCAUUUCUAAGUAUUUUUAAGUACUAUUUGUAAAUGAAGUUUUUAAACCUUUAUUUCCCAAUUGUUCAUUACUUGUAUAUAGAAAUGCAACUGAUUUUUAAUUAAACUUUUUAUUUUGAAAUAAUUAUAAGUUCACAGGAAGUUACAAAGGUAGUACAAAGAGGAUCCAUGUGCUCUUCACUCAGUUUCCCCCCGUGGUUACAUUUUAGAUGGUUAUAGUAUAAUAUUAAAACUAUGAAUUUGACACUGGUACAAUGUGUGUGUAUAGUUCUAUGUCAUCUUAUCAUAUGUGUAUAUUUGUAAGCACCUCACAGUCAAUAUGCAGAAUUAUUUCAUCACCAUAAAAAUCUUUCUUGUGCUGCCUCUUUAUAGUCACGCCUAUCCCCGUCUCUCCAACCAUCCCUAACCUCUGGCAACCACUAACCUGUUUUCCAACACUAUAAUUUUGUCAUUUCAAGAGUGUUAUAUAAGUGGAAUCAUACAGUAUGUCACCUUUUGAACUUGGCUUUUUUUUUUCUCAUUUAACAUAAUGACUUUGAGAUCAGUUCAAACUAUUGCAUGUAUCAAUAAUUCAUUCCUUUUCAUUGCCGAGCAGUUUUCUGUAGUAUACAUGUUCCACCGUUUAUUUCACCAUUCACCUGUUGGAGAACAUUUUGGUUGUUUCCUGUUGGGGAUAAUAAAAAUGAAGUGGCUUAGCACAAUUACGUAUAGGUUUUAAUGUUGACAUACAUUUUCAUUUCUCUGGGAUAAAUACCUAGAAGUGCAAUUGCUGUGAGGUAUGGUAAUUUUAAAAGAAACUUUCAAGCUGUUUUCCAGAGUGACUGAAUCAUUUUACAUUACCAACAGCAAUGUAUAAGAAAUCCAGUUUCCCCACAUCCUGGCCAUGAUUUGGUAUUGUGGCUAUUUUGAAAUUUUACUUGAUCUAAUAGAUAUGUGGUGAUAUCUAAUUGCGGUCUUUAUUUGCAUUUCUUUAUUGGUUAGUGAUGUUUAACAUCUUUUCAUCUGCUUAUUUUUUAUUUUUAUAUACUCUUCAUUAAAAUUUUUCUUCAUAUAUCUUUUACCACUUGUCUACUUAAAUUAUUUGAUUUUUUUACUCUUCAGUUUUAAGAAUUCUUUAUAUAUUCUAGAUAUGAUAUGAGUCCUUUUUCAGAUAUGCUGUUUGCAAAUAUUUUCUCCCAGUGUAUAACUUGUCUUUUCUUCCUCUUAAGAGGGGCUUUUAUAGAGCAAAAGUUUGUAGUGUUGAUAAAGUCCAAUUUAUCACUUAAAAGUUUUUUUCUGUCUUUUUUUUUUUUUUGCUUUUGGUCUAUGAACUCUUCACUAAACCACAGGUCCUGAAGAUUUGUCCUUAUGUUAUCUUCUGAAAGUUUUAUAGUUUUAUGUUUUACAUUUAAAUCUAUGGUCCAUUUUUAAUUAAUUUUUGUAACAGGUAUGAUUUUGGGGUUGAGGUUCCUUUCUUUUUCUUUCUUCUUAUUUGCCCAAGAAUAUCUAUUUGCUCCAGUACUGUUUCUUAAAAAGGCUAUCCCUUCUCCAUUGAAUUGCUUUUGCACCUUUGUCAAAAAUGAGUUGGCCCUACUUGUGUGGGGCUCAUACCUAGAAUAUCUAGGACCCAUUUCUGGGUUCUCUAUUCUGUUUCAUUGAUCUUUGUAUCUAUUCCUCAUGCUGACUUGGUUACUGAUGCUAUCUAAUCAGUCUUAAAAUCAGGUAAUAUGACUUUUCCCAAAUUAUUUUCCCCAAACUGUUUUACUUAUUCAACUCCCUUUGCUUUUUCAUAUACAUUUAGAAUAAGCUUGUUGUCUACAUCUACAGAAAUCUUGCUGAGAUUUUGAUUGGAAUUGUGUUGCACCUGUAUAUCAGUUUGGGGAAAUUUGACAUCAUUACUAUUUUGACUCUUCCUAUCCAUGACUAUCAUAUGUCAACCAUUUACUUAGAUUUUUCUUUGAUUUCUUUCAUUAGCAUUUUGAUGUUUUCAACACAUAAGUGCUGGACAUCUUUAGUUAUAUUUACACCUAAAUAUUUCAUUUUCUUGAUUAUAUGUUAUAUUAACACCUGAAUAUUUCAUUUUCUUGAUUAUACAUUAUAUUUUAUAUUUGUUGUCCAUGUAUUCAUUGCUAGUAUAUUAAAAUAGAUGUGAU